GCCAGAGUGUGAAAGUGAAGCACCGGCCCUUUUGUUAUUGUUUCUGCUUGUGUGUGUGUUUGAGAGAGAGAGAGAGAGAGAGAGAGAGAGAGAGAGAGAGAGAGAGAGAGAGAGAGGCUCCUUCCUUAAUUGUCUCUCACAUGUCUUGUUUAUCUUCAUAAUUAUCUUAUAGAAAAAAUCUCCUGAAAGAAAGCAUAAAAGUGAACCCAUCUCUCUCUCUCUCUCUCUCUGCUGCCUUAGAUUUGCUGAGAUCUUGAGUCGCUUUCCUGUGUCUGACUCCCAUAUGGUCAUGGGGACAAUGACCCUUAAUUUCCCUCUGCAAAAGAAACUCUCUCUCUCUCUCUUUCUCUGCGCAACUCCUUUUCUUCUUUACCUGCCACAAGAAUAUGGAUUAGGGUUUUGAACAGCUCCUCUAAUUACUUAGAUUUUAGGGUUAUGUGUAUUUAAUGGUCUCUUUCAUUUAUAUGUGUAGACAAUGUUUGGAUCCUAUAAUCUGCAGAUGUGUACUGCUUGGAAGUUUCAUAACAAAUGUUGCUUUCAUUGAUUUGAGCGCUAGAGUGAGAAAGUGGUGUCCAGUACAAAGUGCAGUUGCAUGGUGGUGGGUUUUUAAUUACUUGAGCUUAAUUUAUUGGCUUCUAUGUGAAUGUCAGAAAGCAACUCAAGUAGUCUCAGCAGGAAUAUUGAUUAAUUUGCAUGGUGGGAUUUGCUUUAUUGGUAAUGCAUGUCAGAAAAGAAACGGGUGAUGAGAGAAUUGAAGAAAUGGGGAGAGAGAGCUUUCUUCAGUCCACUCAUGGAUAAGAUUUUAAGGGUUGUUGAAGUAGCUGCCGACUCAUUCACUCAAGCACUCAGUAGAAAAAUUCGAAAGGAGUGAGAAAAAAAAGAACCAUCAAACAAUUUGCUACUGUGAUUGUGUGAAUGAAGCGGGAGAUAUUUUACAUCCCUCUUUCUCUGCGCUUGGACUGAAGGGAGCUCCUCCUUUCCAUUGCCUCCACUUUUUUUCCAUACUCUAGGAACACAUACUACACAAACACUUCGAGUUAAUAGUCGUAGUCGUCGUCAUUACGAUCAUCAGGUGUUUAUAGUAGUUUGGUACUCUUUACUAGUUAACGGGACAACCUUAAUGGCGUCAAAGACCUAUAGGGAAUUGAUUUUUUCUUGCAGGGUUAAGAGUUAUCUUGGCAUUGGACAAUUGAUUAAUUAGGUCAAGUCUUGUUAAAAUGUGUGUUUAGAUGUACAAUCUGCCAACAUAACUUUACUUGUUAGAUAUAUUACAUACACAGAACAUUUGAUAAAUCAGUUUGGUACUGCUGCUGCUACUGCAUAAUAUAUAUGAAGAAGAGGGCCCUACCAAGACCUACCAUCAAGUUAUAUCUUUUGCCCGCUGGGUUAUUGAGAGAGAGAGGACAGGCUCUCCCUUGUCUUCUAUUUGUUUUGUUUCACCCCUCGUAUAUAUUCUCCUCUUUUUUCCCCCGACAAGUAAACUUGGUCAGCUGCUUUUCCCCCGAUUUACUUUAUUCCCUUCUUCCUAAAUAGUGUCAGCCAGCGACUUUUCUCUCCUUUUUCCCUCAAUUUUUUCACUCCAAGAAAAACAAGCAUCUGUCAUUUUUUGUAGGCAAUGCAUGCUUAAAAAAGACCACUAGUUUUGGUAUAAUUUUGCACAUACAUGAUCCCUUAUGAAAGUCCAAAAGUACUUGUCAGUAUAUAACAUUCAGCAGCAAACACCAUGCACAGACCACCACCCCCACCACCACUGCAGUGAUUUGUGGAAGGCAACCUAACAUUAUAUUUUUCUGCAAAUUAAAGUUCCAACAAAGUUAACCGUGUUUUCUUCAACUAUUGGCUCGUGCGGCUGCGUUUGCGCAGAUUGCCAUAUUUGGGAAGAUUGGAGCAAAUGGGCAAACUUCCUCUUUUGGAAAUCAGCAUUUGUUUAAUGCAGAGAUGAAUGAAACUUUGGGAGUUUCACGUUGGUCAUGUAAAUUUCUUGCAGGCAAGGCAUGCACUGUGGUCCCAUUUUUCUUUUUCUUCGUCGGACUUACGAACUCCAUUGGUUGAUUGACGCAGCUCGGCAAAAGUUCAAGUUUAUUCUUUUAUACGGAUCUUUUUCUGUUUUUUCCUUCUUUUGUUUUUUUGGAAUGAAUGGCAAAGUGUGCUCUUGUGGUUAUAAGGCAUUAGUUUGGUUUCAUUUAAACAAAAGAAUAAGGGGCAUUAUUAGCGAACAUGAGGUUAGUCAAGUUGGCUAGAAUAGAUAUGCUCCUUAUUCAACACCCGGGUACAAGGCAUUAUUAAAUAAGAAGGGACUAUUGAAACUUCUUUUGGGAUUACUUAAGGGUGGUGAUUUUUCCACUCAUUUUUUUUCCAUUUACA